AGCAAGCGAGGUCACAGGCGAGCGUUACAACAUGGCGGCGACGGCAAACUGAUAUGUCUAAAGUGCUAGCCGAAGAGUGUCGUGGAAAUCAGCAAAUUUCUGUACAGCACAACUGAAUAUUAGCGUUUUAAUGUAAAUAGGGAUCGGACACAUUGUAUCUAGCUGGCGUCUGACUGCGACUGUACUGGCAGGAGUUCUUUGAAAGAACGGGAAUUAAUGGCAGCUGCUGCUCGAAAGUUGGGUGAGCAGAAAGGUGAAAAAAUGGGUUUGCCAUGUGAAAAAGACACAGAUGACCAACCAGCACAGAUUAACCAUGAAAGUAAAGGAGCGGCUCAGGAUUCAGGUGAAGUUCUUGACUCUUCAGAGACGCAGAAGAUAGAGUCAGAGAUGCAAAGGCCUGGACAAACGCCUAGCUCUAAGGUUCCCCCAGGUAUGGAUCAGGAAAACCAAUUUAAUACAGAGGAAACCCGAAAGAAGCAAGGACCAAAGGCAAAGACUCCUGCCAAAAGGAGAAGAAAGGAGAUCAUUCCACAGACUCCACCACAACAUGACAGUUCAGCAGUCUCUGAUACUUCUGAACUCACUUCUAGUGGUCGGCCCAAGAGGAGAGCUGCUAAAGUUGCUUUAGAUUAUCUCCACAACCUUGCCAAGGAUCUUGGUGCUCCAUCAGAAUCCUCAAUUAAAAAAACGUCCAAGUCCGGUGAAGCGGAUGGCACUGACAAGAAAAAGAAAACUGCAAGGGGAAGGGGGACCAAAAGAAAAACUCCAGAUUAUAAAAGCGACUCUGAUGGCGAUGAAGACUUUUCCCCAGGAAAAGACGACGAGGCAGAGAGCGAAGAUGAAGAAGAUUCAGAGCCAGACUUCAGCUUGAACAUAGAGCGCAGAUUAUCCAGACCAUCCUGCAGACCACCCAGAGGAAAUUAUCAUUGUCUUCUUCCAAAUGGAUUGGCUAACAAUGUCAUGGAGCCUGUUUGGAACUGUUUUAGUAGGACCAAAGAAUUCCGGGAUGAAAACUUUUCCCCCUGGGUAUUCCCAGAAUGGAUUCCUUCUGCCAAAGAUUGGCAUUUCCUGUCUAAGAGUGAGGCUGAAAAAUAUUUACCCCAAGAGAAAGAAUCUGCUUCUUUUACCUUUACACGGGAAAGCAUCAAAGGACAGAUCAAACUGCAAACAGUGAAGAGGUUUGAAUCAUUGCCACAUCAUUCUGAGCGCUGGGAUGCUCUGUUCUUUGUGGGUGGUCCUGUUCGGUCCUUGGAGUGGUGCCCAUGUCCUGACGGGGCGGCAAAAAGACAGUAUGCCGCCAUCUACUGCCACAAAGGCAUGGAUGAUGAACACAAAAUCAAUAAGCUGCACACAGGUCCUGUCUUGCUGCAGCUGUGGGACAUCGGAGACCUUCAGUGCAAAAGCAGGCCCUCAACUGCUCCUCAUCUAGCAUAUGCUUUGGCGAUAGAUGAUGGAUGCAUCUGGAAUAUAAGGUGGUGUCCUGCGGGAGUGUGGGAGCUGCCCUCUACCAGCAGAAAGGCUCCACAGAUGCCUAGAUUAGGUGUUCUAGCAGCAGCUUUCUCUAACGGAACCAUUGGUGUCUACAGUCUUCCACACCCAGAAGCCCUUGCAGCACACCAUCAGAGUAAAGGAGAAACCAGCCAAGCACCGUUGAUAUGCCGGGUGAAGAAGGUUCUGACUUUGAAGAUGGGCUCCAACCAGGCGGAUCAUAAAGGUCAAAGUGGUCUGUGCUUUGCUAUGGAUUGGCUCCAUGUCAAACCACAUAACCUCUUGGCUGCUGGCUUCUAUGAUGGUCUGGUUGGUUUAUGGGAUCUUGCUAGUAAGUCUACACUACUGAAAGUCAAGUCUCCAGACGGAGGUGUGUAUCUCUACCCUUACCACUGUUUCCAUGCUCAUGACGAAAACAUCCGGACCUUGUGCUGGUGCAAAGCCUCAAGUAACUUGUUGGUGACAGUCGGAGAUGACCGCAUGGCAAAAAUGUGGGAUGUGAGAAAAACCUACGUGCCUCUUUUGGCAGUAAAGCGCUGCUUGUCCACUGAAGUGUACUGGCCCCUCUUUUGGAGCGGCAUCCUGGUGGCUCAAGAGUGUUGCUUUGCCACGUUUGGACAACAUGGGGUUCACUAUUUUGAUUCAGGUUACCUUGGAAUCAAGCCUUACUUUGUGUGUCCUAGAAAAGCCACUAUAUGGAGCCUUUCUAUGUCUGAUUGGAUAAAUACUUUUGCCGUUGUGGACAAUGGAGGAGAUUGUUUAUUUAGUUCGCUUCCUGAAAUGGACAUCGACCCCAACACUAUCAGACGACGGAGAUAUUCAGUGUACAGGACUGACAUGGUCCAGUUUCAACCCGGUCAGAGGCCUGGAGAUAAGGAACAGGAGGAGGAGGAAGUGGAAAAUGCUGCUAGUAAUCCUAGGAAGGAGCCACUGAGUUACAAAGGAGCAAUCAGAAAGUACUAUCUCCACUUUCAUGACUUGGACCUGGGGAACUUUGCUAAGAGUGAAAAUCGGGCCAUGAUGAAGCACCUGCACCAGCAUGAGGUCAAAGGUGUUGCUAAAGUGGACCAGAUGCCAUUGAGCGCGCUCUACAAGGUCCGUUUUAACCCAAACAUGGAUGCGUACAACUGGAUCCUGUCGGGCGGGCAGUCAGGUUUGGUGCGUGUGAACUGUGUACGUGGACUGAGCUGCUCCGUGAUGCUCAAGCAGUUGCGUGAAGCUCAAGCCCAGUUCAGUGCCAUGUUCCAGUCUCAGGAGCCCGAUGACUCUGCAACAGCUGUCCGUCACAGCACAGCGGAUACAGUACAAGUGCACUAGUCUCCACCCCCUCAGCCUCUCAGCUCUAUCCUCAAAUGGACUGUGCUGUCAUAAUAGGCUGAGAGACUGUCAUUUUUAGAAGACUGAUGACACACACUUUUUAUGCUUAACUUAUACUGAAAGAAGGAAAACUAUUUUGAUACAAGCCUCUGUACGUUCCUGGUUUUAUAUUUUUGUGCGUUUUGUUUUAUUAGUAUUAGUGCUGUACAGAGUUUAGUAUCUUUAUCUUGAUACAUUGUCCUUUCCAAAGUAUGUGUGGUUUCAUUUACGGGGAGCGUUAUUCUCUGUUUCCUUCUGUUCCAGUUCAGUGCUAUAUAAUGAUGAAACAUAUCCAUCUUGACCUUUAGUGAGAAAACAUUUGAUUAGAUCUGUUCAUUUAGCUAUUAUAUCAAGAUCUGUUUUUUCCCUUUAGCUCUAGCUUUCUUACCCUAAAUCUUCAUUUUAAAGGAACAGUAACACAAAAAUGAAACAUCAUCACCAUGUCGUUUCAAACCUGACUUUAUUUCUUCUGUGGAACAUGACAAUAUAAAUGUUUUUCCAUUCUAUAUGUAAAUUCUUGCCCUUCACUGUCCUCAUCUACAGUACAUAUUCAAAUAUCAGGCCUUUAGAUAGAAUGUUAGUUCUGAUGUCAUUGCAAGUUGACCAAUCAUUGACGAUUACAUGUCCAAUCACAGUGCAGCAUUGCGAAUAUGAUGAGAAGAUUAUAAGUAACCUAAAUUUGGGCCUUUUUAUGUUCAUAUGGAACAAGUAAUAAAGUGUUCUGUGUACUUCAUUGUUUUGAUUUAUUUUCUGAAAUUUUGGUCAUUUUGAAGCUUUGGAGCCCAUAUCCCUAUUCACUUUCUUAAUAUGGAAAAGAGUGGCCAUUACAUUCGUGAACAUGUCUCCUUUUGUGCUCCACAGAAGGAAUAAAGUAAUACAGGUAUGGAAAGACAUGAGGGUCUAGCCAAAUUUGUAAGGGCAUCAUGAACUCCGCUGAUAACUGCAGCCUGCAUGUGAGUUAAUUUUGUCCCUGACCCAAAGGCAUUCUGACGUUAAGAUCAGAUGCACCUUGAUACCCGUCUCAUAAUUCAUGACUUCAAUUUUGCCUGAGUGAAUAUAAUUAACUCCAGUGAUGAGAAUCUGGAAAGGUGUCAGUCAGUUUAAUGCUGCUGCGGUCUGUCAGAUAAGAUUAAACAAGGAAGCUUAUUAUAAUGGAUUUCAAUUUAGUGUGUUAUUUUAAAUAUCUCAAUCUGACUGUGAGGCUCAAGAUAUGGUUAGUAGUU